CUCCGGGCCAAAGUGACCCUGCUGGAGCCCGGGGGCACCUCCAGCCCCCCGGGGGUCCCUGCGCCUCCUCUGCCGCGGCUCUGGGUUCAGUUUCGGGAAUUCUGGAAUGUAUUGGAUCCGCCAGAGACCCGGGCAGGGGCUGGAAUUUGUUGCGGGGAUCAAUGGUGAUGGUGUGAACACCGGCUACGCGCCCUCGGUGCAGGGCCGGUUCACGAUCUCCAGGGACAACGGGCAGAGCUCGGUGACGCUGACCAUGAACAGCCUCAGGGACGAAGAUUCUGCCGUCUAUUUCUGCGCCAAAUCUGCUGAUGGUUACGGUUAUGUUUUGCCCAUUUGA